rnacentral:rRNA from 1 species
UACGGGGGGGGCAAGCGUUGUUCGGAAUUACUGGGCGUAAAGGGCGCGUAGGCGGCUUGGCAAGUCGGGUGUGAAAUCCCGGGGCUCAACCCCGUGACUGCAUUCGAUACUGUCAGGCUAGAGGUAGGUAGGGGAGAUCGGAAUUCCUGGUGUAGCGGUGAAAUGCGCAGAUAUCAGGAGGAACACCGAUGGCGAAGGCGGAUCUCUGGGCCUUACCUGACGCUCAGGCGCGAAAGCUAGGGGAGCGAACAGG